UACGAAAGGGGCUAGCGUUGCUCGGAAUCACUGGGCGUAAAGCGCACGUAGGCGGAUCUUUAAGUCAGGGGUGAAAUCCUGGAGCUCAACUCCAGAACUGCCUUUGAUACUGAGGAUCUCGAGUCCGGGAGAGGUGAGUGGAACUGCGAGUGUAGAGGUGAAAUUCGUAGAUAUUCGCAAGAACACCAGUGGCGAAGGCGGCUCACUGGCCCGGUACUGACGCUGAGGUGCGAAAGCGUGGGGAGCAAACAGG
rnacentral:rRNA from 1 species